AUCCUUUUAUAACAAAUUUUAACUUAAUUAUUAUACUAACUUAACACAUAUAAUACUUAUAAUAUUGUUAUGCUAUAAAAUAAAAACCCAAAGUUCCUCUCCGUCAAAGCAAGAUCCAUUGUCAUUAGCUUAUUUCUCUCUCUCGAUAAAGGAAAAGAAAAGGUUUGAAUUCAUGAACCAUGAACCAGAGGAAGCUUCUUCUCAAUGAGAGAGUCGAGGUUCGCCAAUUUGAGGAAGGGUUGCGGGGGUCGUGGCACCCUGGGGUGGUUGUUGGAGUUUCGCAUUUAUCCCGAUCAAUUGAAUAUGAUGAGCUCUUGUGUGAAACAGGUGAUUCGAAGCUCAUUGAGUCCAUCCCUGUGACAGAGGCAGUUGAAGGUCUUCAUACCCGUCGCCAUGUUCCAUCAACCUAUCGAGGGUAUAUACGACCUCUUCCUCCCUCAUCUCAACCUCAUUCUAAUCAAAAUCUGGGUUUUGGGGUUUGUGUUGAUGCAUUGUUUGAAGAUGCAUGGUGGGAAGGGGUUAUUUUGGAUAAUGAUGAUAAUGCAUCUGAGCGGUCUGUGUAUUUUCCUGAUGAGGAUGAUGAGUGCAAAUUCAGUGCGAGUCAGUUACGUGUAGCUCAUGAGUGGGAUGAGUUUCUGGGCAUUUGGAGAGACCGAGGUAUAUGGGUAUUGGUGGAGCUAGCAAAAGAACUUGAAGGUGAUGUUCCCUUGGCUUGUUGUGUAAAGAAAGUUUGGUCCUCCCUACGUUUAAAUUAUGGGUUUGGAAAAAUGAUAUCUGAGUGGACUUGUGGUGUUCGGACUGUUUGGAGGACCUACUUCAUGGAAGUUGUUCAGGAGAUUGCAGUUGGGUCUAGCCGGCGAAAUCUUGCUAAUCGCAAAAUCUUGGCCUGGAUGGUGGGAAGGAGAAGUAAAAAAUCAAAGGAUCCUGGGAAGACAAAUUCCUAUUUAUCUGACAUUUCUGCACAAGCAGGUAGCUGCACUGAUUUCAACGCUGUUGGGUCAUGUCGAAAAGGAGAGGGAAAAGGCCCUCUUGGUAAGCACAAAGGAAGGAGACGAUCUGUAAUGUCAAAACUGAAACAUGAGGAGCUACCUAAAAUGAAUCCAUCUACUAGAAAAAGUUCUGUGGCAGAUAAAUCAUGUGGAGAAAAGCAAGUAAUGGAGGAGUCUGGUAAAUUUGAUUAUGGAAUAGACAAGCAAAAGUCUCCCAUACUUAGUGAGAAUGAGGGUAAUCAACUCUCUGUUGACUGCUCAAGAGGAAGUAAAACCAUUUCUUUUUCUGUCUCUGAUGUUCAAGACAAUCAAUCAAUUUACAGGACUUUCACUAAGCAUGGGCAGAUUGAUGGUAAUCUUACUGUCAUUUUCCCUGACUGUAGCAAAGUGCAGGCGAGCAUGCAAUCAUUCUUCUCUGUUAUUCCUAAGAAGAGAAGAUCAUUAAUUAGAAAAAAGUUUUCAAAGAACCAGGGGCCUAAUUCAAAGGUUAAAAAUCCAUCAAAGGUGAAGAAGGGGAAUAACAAGGCUUCUUUCCUUGUUUAUAAAAAUGAUUCAGUGUUGAGGAGAAGGUUUUCAAAGAAAACUAAGCAAGCUGAUGCAAAAGUUGAAGGCAACCCUAAGAAAGAAGAGAAAGGCGUAGAUGUCAUAAGCAAAGAUGAUGCUUUACCUGACGGUCAUCGUUGUUCAAGUCUUCCUGUUGAUAAUUGUGGAAAAAAGUUUAGGCUUAAAGACAUGGUGUCUCGUUCUCGGAGGCGCAAGAGGAAGCGGCGAUGUUGCGGUUCCCGACUCUGUGAUACAAUAUGUAGUGUCUGUCACUAUGGAGGAGAUCUUAUGAUUUGUGGUUACUGCCCAUGCUCAUAUCAUUUAAGUUGCAUUAACCUCAAGGAUAUACCUAAUGAAAAGUGGUUUUGUCCAUCUUGCUGUUGUGGACUAUGUAGCAUGAGAGAUUGCAAGGAUGAUACUGAACAUUUUACAAAAGCUUGUCUCCAAUGCACCCGCCAAUAUCAUGUUGCUUGCCUAAGUGAAGCUCAGCAUAUGUCUUCUACAGACUACCUAUUUGGGAGUUUUUGUAGUGAGGCUUGUUAUAAGUUAUGUGCUCAACUUCAUCAACUUUUGGGAAUUUCAAAUCCCACUACUGUUGAUGGCUUAAGCUGGACACUGAUGAGAUCGUUGAAAAAUGUGUAUGGAUUUCCUGAUAUGUUGAAAACUCACACCUGGAUUAAGCUAUCAGAUGUACUAAGGGUUAUCCAUGAGUGUUUCGAACCUGUCAAGGAUCCUCAUACCAAGAGAGAUCUGGUCAGAGAUGUUGUUUUCAAUUCAGGGUCGAAACUUAAACGAGUAGAUUUUCGUGGAUUCUAUGCCAUGGUUCUCCAUAAUGGUCAUGAAAUUUUAUCAAUAGCCACAGUGAGGAUACAUGGACUAAAGGUUGCAGAGAUGCCGUUAAUUGCUACACCUUUCCGAUAUCGUCGGCAGGGUAUGUGUCGACUUCUUUUCAAGGAGUUGGAGAAGCUGCUUGUUCAAAUGGGCAUUGAGAGAUUAGUCUUGCCUGCAAUACCUCAGCUUAGAGAAACAUGGGAAAAGUCCUUUGGUUUCUUGGAAAUGCCUCUUUCAGAAAGGCUGCAAUUUUUGGGCUAUCCUUUUUUGGCCUUUCAGGGGACGAUAAUGUUGCAGAAAUUCCUUAGGAACUCUAUUUUUAAUAAGGAGAUGAGAGAUUUUUCUGGAAAAUCUUCUGAUUUUGGAGGAAAUGCAUCAAAUAUCUUUAAGAAGCACAUGCAAGGGUCUGAUAGCGAGGACAAGUUCUAUGGCUUGUUGUAUAAGCGCAGGCUGAAAUUAGAAGUUAUAGGGAAAGAAAACUUGGCCAACAAUUGUGGUGGACGUACACGACUUUCUAAGAAAUUGUGCAAGUAGAGACAAAUACUGGCUAGGAGAGAUUGAAAUACUGAUGAAGUAAUUAAAAGCUCACAGUAAAUAGCAGAUCUAACCAGUGGAUAUUGGUCACCCUUUUUGUUUAUGUGACUAAUGGGCAUGAGGUGCAGUUCAGGUGCUUGAGUCCUUAUAUUGCUUAAGGUGCAAGAUGUAAAAAAGGUAAAUGAUGCAUUAUGUUGAGCAGUCCAGAUUCAUUCUUAAGUGACUCGAGGUGUUUGGACUUGAUUGGUUGAACAAAAAGGAGUAUGCUUCUUGCAAAUUUUGCUGGUGUAUUUUGUGGUUUGAGAACUCUAUGCUAGAGGUUGGGUUGGUUGUAUCGGGUUUCGUUAUAAAUGGUCUAUGUUUGAAACCAUUGCUAUCAACCUGGUUGUAAGUGAGUUUUGAUAAAGGAAAACUCAAAUGGCCAAAGGACGAGGAAUACUAUGCUUCAUGCCUUCGUUCAUUCUAUGUGAACCUUACAUGGAGUUUGUGUAUGGUUGGUUGCCUAAAGCAUUAAAGUAGUUUGCUAUUAAAGCUUUCAAGAAUUAUGCUUACAUAGUUUUGCUUGAAACCAUAAUGUGAAUUUCCGAGUAAAUUUGUACAGAAUUGUGUUGGAUACGAAAUUCGAGUUUGAUGUAACACCUUGAAUUUUCUUUAAGAAGGCAACACAUCAGGUGAGGGCCUCCCAAGAAAGGUAUAGAUAGUCUUCUCAUAUAUAA